AGCGAACGCUGGCGGCGUGCUUAACACAUGCAAGUCGAGCGAAGGUGUUUCAAGGGUAACCUUGAGAUACACUUAGCGGCGGACGGGUGAGUAAUACGUGGAUAACUUACCUCUAGGCCUGGGAUAACCCCGGGAAACUGGGGCUAAUACCUGAUAAGACCACAUUGUCUACGGACAAAGGGGUAAAAGGUGGCUGUGCAAACAGCUAUCGCC
rnacentral:rRNA from 1 species